AGCGAACGCUGGCGGCAGGCCUAACACAUGCAAGUCGAACGAACCCUUCGGGGUUAGUGGCGGACGGGUGAGUAACACGUGGGAACGUGCCUUUAGGUUCGGAAUAACUCAGGGAAACUUGUGCUAAUACCGAAUGUGCCCUUCGGGGGAAAGAUUUAUCGCCUUUAGAGCGGCCCGCGUCUGAUUAGCUAGUUGGUGAGGUAAUGGCUAACCAAGGCUACGAUCAGUAGCUGGUCUGAGAGGAUGACCAGCCACAUUGGGACUGAGACACGGCCCAAACUCCUACGGGAGGCAGCAGUGGGGAAUCUUGCGCAAUGGGCGAAAGCCUGACGCAGACAUGCCGCGUGGAUGAUGAAGGUCUUAGGAUUGUAAAAUCCUUUCACCGGUGAAGAUAAUGACUGUAGCCGGAGAAGAAGCCCCGGCUAACUUCGUGCCAGCCGCCGCAGUAAGAC
rnacentral:rRNA from 1 species